GUAAGAGUUGAGGGAAUUGAUGAGCUGAUAUCUAACACCAAAUUUUCAAGGCAGGAAUUGCAGAGAAUGUAUAGGGGUUUUAAAAAUGAAUGUCCAAAUGGAACAGUGGACAAAGACACCUU